rnacentral:rRNA from 1 species
ACGGCCAUACCAUGCUGAAUAUACCGGUUCUCGUUAGAUCACCGAAGUCAAGCAUCACUGGGCGCAGUCAGUACUUGGGUUGGGGACCACGUGGGAACACCGUGUGCCGUU